rnacentral:tRNA from 1 species
GACUAGUAGCAUAGUGGUAGCGCACAAGGAGAAUGAUCGUGAGGUCGCGGGUUCGAACCCCGACUCCCG